GACGAACGCUGGCGGCGUGCCUAAUACAUGCAAGUUGAACGCUAAAGCUUUAACUGGUGCUUGCACCGACUUAAGUUUUUAGAGUAGCGGACGGGUGAGUAACACGUGGGUAACCUGCCCAUCAGAGGGGGAUAACACUUGGAAACAGGUGCUAAUACCGCAUAAUUCCUUUUACCGCAUGGUAAAAGGCUGAAAGGCGCUUCUGGUGUCACUGAUGGAUGGACCCGCGGUGCAUUAGCUAGUCGGUGGGGUAACGGCCUACCGAGGCGAUGAUGCAUAGCCGACCUGAGAGGGUGAUCGGCCACAUUGGGACUGAGACACGGCCCAAACUCCUACGGGAGGCAGCAGUAGGGAAUCUUCGGCAAUGGACGAAAGUCUGACCGAGCAACGCCGCGUGAGUGAAGAAGGAUUUCGGAACGUAAAACUCUAUCAGCAGGGAAGAAAAUGACGGUACCUGACUAAGAAGCCCCGGCUAACUACGUGCCAGCAGCCGCAGUAACAC
rnacentral:rRNA from 1 species